AUUGAACGCUGGCGGCAGGCUUAACACAUGCAAGUCGAGCGAGCGGCGGACGGGUGAGUAAUGUAUGGGGACUGCCCGAUAGUGGGGGAUGACUACUGGAAACGGUGGCUAAUACCGCAUACUAUCGGAUAACCCAUAUGGGAUUGGCUAGUAGGUGGGGUAAAGGCUCACCUAGGCGACGAUCGCUAGCUGGUCUGAGAGGAUGAUCAGCAACGCUGGGACGUAGAUGCGGCCCAGACUCCUACGGAGGCAGCAGUGGGGAAUAUUGCACAAUGGGUGAAAGCCUGAUGCAGCGACGCCGCGUGGGGGAUGAAGGCUUUCGGGUUGUAAACCUCUUUCGCUAUCGAACGGGUAGGAGGAGAAGAAGCGCCGGCUAACUACGUGCCAGCAGCCGCGGUAAUAC
rnacentral:rRNA from 1 species